ACAGAUCUGCUGUUAUGAGCACACACAGAUAAACACGACACAGCAAAGCAGCUAAUACAUGCAAGGGAGUAAUUUUCAGUUUGCGGAGUAGAUCUGCCGUACCGAACGCGAAAUGUGCGCGUCAUCGGUUGAAGACCUUUCCCACGAAGAAGGAGAAGUAUGAAUGCGGAACAUGCCAACAACGUAUAAUGAGGCGAGCGCGCACUACUAGCCCCAACAGAACUUCAUCCUUGACUAUGCAGAACCUACGAAUAUGGCGCAUAGAGUUUCUAUAUGGCUGACCGUGAACAUGUGCGAGCGCACACUGUAUUGGAUUAGCUCAGUGACCCUUUAGCUCAUUUAGCUAUAUGAAUGGCAGGAGAUGCAACAGCACUCUUUGCAUAAGGUGAUGGUGACCGCCACCACCUGGCAGCA
rnacentral:lncRNA from 1 species